CAGGCUAUGUGCCAAUAAAUACCUCGCUUCACUUCAAAAUAUCGUUCCUUGUUCCCUCGUUCGUUCCUCCUCCAAAAACCUUAUCUCAUUUCAAAACCAAGCCAGAACACACGAGAGAAACCAUGUCUGCAGCAUCUGCCUCUUCACUAGUCCUCCCAUCGCUCAAUCACCCAAAUACCAUAAAAUCUUUCUACAGCAAACCCAAUUCGCUCUUUUUUCUAUCUCCUUCUUCCACUUCUUCUCUCAAGCCCGUUUCUCUCCUUCUCUCCUUUCAACACCAGCAACAGCCUCUGUCCUCUCGGUUUCUAAAAAAUGUUGCCAUUUCAUCUGAAUUCGGACAAGAAGAGGAUUUCUUGAGUGAUGGGGACGAGCGCAGUUUCUCUCAAGACCUCAAAUUGUUUGUGGGUAAUCUUCCUUUUAAUGUUGACAGUGCCCGGCUCGCUGGUCUCUUUGAAACCGCUGGAAAUGUUGAGAUGGUUGAGGUAAUAUAUGACAAGGUAACUGGGAGAAGCAGAGGAUUUGGUUUUGUGACCAUGGCGACUAUUGAAGAAGUUGAAGCAGCAACUAAACAGUUCAAUGGCUAUGAACUCGAUGGGAGGACAUUGAGGGUGAAUUUUGGACCUCCUCCUCAGAAGGAAAGUUCCUUUUCAAGAGGGCCUAGAGGUGGUGAAACAUUUGAUUCUGGCAAUCGUGUUUAUGUCGGCAACCUUUCAUGGAAUGUUGAUAACUUGGCACUUGAAACAUUGUUUAGAGAGAAAGGGAGGGUGAUGGAUGCUAGAGUUGUUUAUGACAGGGAUAGUGGUAGAUCAAGGGGCUUUGGUUUUGUUACUUAUAGUUCUGCUGAAGAGGUUGACAAUGCCAUUGACUCCCUAAAUGGCGCUGAAUUGGAUGGCAGAGCAAUUCGGGUCUCAGUUGCAGAAGCUAAGCCAAGGCGUCAAUUUUGAGCGCUAGAUCUUUUCUGUAUCUUCUCCCUGAGAAAAUAUUUUGGGUGGUACUUGUCCACACUUUGCACUUUAAGUCUGGGACUUGGGAGAUACGCGGUUGCAGUAUGUUCUUGUGAUGCAACCUCUUUGAAUAUGCUCCUUGUGCCUGGGACUCAUCGGGCUCUUUGAUAGAUGCAUCUAAGAUGAACAAGGGUUGAUUAAAUGUGUUUAAAUUUUUUGAUGUAUGUUUUAAAUACUGUGAUCCAGAUGAAAACAUGAAUGUAGUUUAUUUAUCGAGGUGAUGUGAAUUAUUUAGUGCUUUGGCUUUGCUAUAUGGAUUGUGCUAGAAGAGCUUUGUCAUUGUUGAAUGAAUUGCAGCGAAAUCCAA